GUUUUAGUAAUUUAAUAAAAAUAUUAGUUUUGUAAACUAAAAAUAGGAAUAACCUUUAAAACU
rnacentral:tRNA from 1 species